rnacentral:rRNA from 1 species
UACGUAGGGCGCAAGCGUUGUCCGGAAUUAUUGGGCGUAAAGAGCUCGUAGGCGGUCUGUCACGUCUGCCGUGAAAACCCGAGGCUUAACCUCGUGGCUUGCGGUGGAUACGGGCAGACUAGAGGUAGGUAGGGGAGAACGGAAUUCCCGGUGUAGCGGUGAAAUGCGCAGAUAUCGGGAGGAACACCGGUGGCGAAGGCGACUACCUGGCCUGUUCUUGACGCUGAGGCACGAAAGCGUGGGGAGCAAACAGG